GUGCCAGCCGCCGCGGUAAUACGGAGGGUGCGAGCGUUAAUCGGAAUUACUGGGCGUAAAGCGUGCGUAGGCGGUUAUUUAAGUCAGAUGUGAAAGCCCCGGGCUUAACCUGGGAACUGCAUUUGAUACUGGGUAACUCGAGUUUACUAGAGGAGAGUGGAAUUUCAGGUGUAGCGGUGAAAUGCGUAGAGAUCUGAAGGAACACCAGUGGCGAAGGCGGCUCUCUGGAGUAAAACUGACGCUGAGGUACGAAAGCGUGGGUAGCAAACAGGAUUAGAUACCCUGGUAGUCCACGCCGUAAACGAUGUCAACUAGCCGUUGGGUUUAUUAAUGAACUUAGUGGUGCAGCUAACGCAUUAAGUUGACCGCCUGGGGAGUACGGCCGCAAGGUUAAAACUCAAAUGAAUUGACGGGGGCCCGCACAAGCGGUGGAGCAUGUGGUUUAAUUCGAUGCAACGCGAAGAACCUUACCUACCCUUGACAUCCUCGGAACUUGUCAGAGAUGACUUGGUGCCUUCGGGAACCGAGAGACAGGUGCUGCAUGGCUGUCGUCAGCUCGUGUCGUGAGAUGUUGGGUUAAGUCCCGUAACGAGCGCAACCCUUAUCCUUAGUUGC
rnacentral:rRNA from 2 species